ACUAGGGGGGCAGCAGUGGGGAAUAUUGGGCAAUGGGCGCAAGCCUGACCCAACAACGCCGCGUGAAGGAAGAAGGCUUUCGGGUUGUAAACUUCUUUUCUCAGGGACGAAGAAAGUGACGGUACCUGAGGAAUAAGCCACGGCUAACUACGUGCCAACAGCCGCGGUAAUACGUAGGUGGCAAGCGUUAUCCGGAUUUACUGGGUGUAAAGGGCGUGUAGGCGGGACUGCAAGUCAGAUGUGAAAACCACGGGCUCAACCUGUGGCCUGCAUUUGAAACUGUAGUUCUUGAGUACUGGAGAGGCAGACGGAAUUCCUAGUGUAGCGGUGAAAUGCGUAGAUAUUAGGAGGAACACCAGUGGCGAAGGCGGUCUGCUGGACAGCAACUGACGCUGAGGCGCGAAAGCGUGGGGAGCAAACAGGAUUAGAUACCCCGGUAGUC
rnacentral:rRNA from 1 species